rnacentral:lncRNA from 7 species
CCUUUUGGUAAUUUGCUGGCUUUCAGUCAGCCUAUGUUUUCUAUCUCUUUUUAGGUGUUUAUGCACAUAUAUACACAUAUUCAUUUUUAUCUGUGUGUACACACAGGGAAUUCUGCAUUGUCGUGUCAGCGAGAUCCUGCACUUCAUCAUCUGUCCAAGAAGAGGACAGCAAAGCUGAGGAAAGUCAGAGAACUGAGCCGUCCAAGGAAGGUCCUUGCAGUUCUGUGCACACAGAUGAAGCUGGACCAACGAGCAAGGCAGUCGCUCUGUACAUUCGUGCUGAAGAAGACCCAGGAAGGUGCAAACUCAGAAUACGGUGCAUAAAGUUUUCAUAGCUGCAUUAGACUGGAAAACAUCCUGGCCCGCAUUCCAACUCCUGCCAUCUCCAGUUCUGCUGCUGAGAGCUCCCAACCUCAGUCUCGGUGACAGCAUGCACCAUAUACAAAGUGGGACUUUUAAGAUAUUUACAUUUGGAGACAGAAUCAACAGUGCAAGGCCAGACCUGUGCCCUCAUUGCUCUCAAAAAUAAAAAGAGAUGUCUGGAAAUUAAAAACCACAGAAUGGCUUGAGUUGGAAGGGACCUCAGUCAUUAUCCAGUUCCACUCCUACACCAUGGGCAGGGUUGCCAACUUACUCAGGCAUCUUUAUGGGCACAGAGCAGCAUAUGCCUCUGCCCUUCACAAUGACUUUCUUCAAGCACUUGCAUUUGAAUGUUGCUUUCCCCUUUCUGGAUGAUUAUCUGUCCUCUGCUGUAAGGAGUCACAGUCACCUGGAAGCUGAAAAGACCUUCAUAUCCUUGAAUUUGAUACCAGCUUAGAAAUUGCUGCUCUUUCUCAGAGAUGAAGACAUAUACCAUUCUGAACCACAUUUGAGGGUGUUUCCAACUAAGCUUGGUGAGGGAUGAAGCUAUAAGGACUCAUUGCCAAGAAAUGCUAGUGGAUACACACCUUCACCCCUCUUGCAGAGAACUAUUGAUGGGCUCACGUGGCUGAGAUAUUUAUGAAGAAACUUCUUGUACAAGACCUUGUCCCUGACGAGCUUUUAAUGAUGAGGAAGCGACUCAACAAUCGAUGCUCAAGAGGUUGAAAUAAGAAAGCCACUCCGGCCACAUAGGAACCAUUGCAGAACUCCAGGGAUGCUUCAUUGCAGCAUGACAAAAGUUAGGAGCGAUGCUGUGGAGCGAUGGGGCUCUGUGGAGGAACAAAGCAAGAAUUCCUGUGCUCACUGCUGUAUUCUCCUUCAACACACACUGAAAAAUAAUAGUGG